rnacentral:misc_RNA from 1 species
AAAGCGCGAAAUGUAAUGUGAAUUGCAGAACAUUGUGAAUCAUCGAAUCUUUGAACGCACAUUGCGCCUCCUGUAAAUGGGAGGCAUGCCUGUCUGAGCGUCAUUUAAAACCAUAACCUUUAGGGUUGUAUUGGGACUCGCCUUUCGGCGUCUCCUCAAAGUCAUCGUGUCUGAAAGCGUACGAGCUCCUCUAGGACUGAACGUUUGAGGACCCUAAACUCUCUGACUUGACCUCAGAUCAGGUAGGACUACCGCCUGAACUUAA